AAUACUAGGUUUAAAAACAAAAUACUUUUGUUCCAGCUUAACACAAUACUUAAUCCUAUGUCUUUCUAACUCAUACAUUUCCUGUGUAAGGUGUCCUAAGUGCUUUGCUCUUAACUCUUCUUCUUGAACCAAUCCUAACGUAAGUCAUGAGUUGUGAUUGCUUCUCAGCCAUUCCACCUGCUGCAUCUGGCGACAAUGGACCUUCUUCGUUGUUACUCAUUCCACCCCCUUCCUCGGCCGACAUACGAACAGGUGACACGAAUGCAUCGUCAGUUGCUCCUUGUGGACAUCCAACACUCUGAAAACC
rnacentral:lncRNA from 1 species